UUCCCCUAAGUUCACUGGAGUUAAGCAAUGUUGAGUCUGGUCAGUACCUAGAUGGGUGAACGCUUGGGAAUACCAGGUGCUGUAAG